CUUCCCGGCACUGGUACUGCACCCACAGGAGAAGAGACAAAUGGCGGCACAGUUACACAACAGAUGAAACAAAUAAACCAGCACAACAUGUAUCAAGACGGAUAAUACAUCUCAAAAACAAGAUGUUGAGCAAAACACAGGAACCAAAAUGAAAAGAAAAAUGCAUUCUAUAGAACGACACACAAUAUGAUACCAUUUAUAUAAACAUUAAAACCCUGCAAAGUGGCCAGGCACAGUGGCUCACACUUGUAAUCCCAGGAAGGCCAAGGUGGGCGGAUCAC
rnacentral:lncRNA from 1 species